GCGUGUUUAGCUCAGCGGUAGAGCACUCCCCUUUUAAGGGAUAGGCCCUGGGUUCAAAUCCCAGAACACGCA
rnacentral:tRNA from 1 species